UUAUUAAGUGAUGAAUUUUAUACCGCCCCAGUCUGAUUAUUGUGAUUGAUUGGUUAUUUAUACUGAAUAUUU